rnacentral:tRNA from 1 species
GCUCUCAAAGGAUAAUAGUUCAUCCGUUGGUCUUAGGAACCAAAAACUCUUGGUGCACGGGGGGAACUCCAGUGUGAGCU